rnacentral:lncRNA from 1 species
AUGGCCGAGGGAGGCAUUGCUGCUGGAGGUGUAAUGGAUGUUAAUACUGCUUUACAAGAGGUGCUGAAGACCGCCCUCAUCCACGAUGGCCUAGCACGUGGAAUCUGUGAAGCUGCCAAAGCCUUAGACAAGCGCCAAGCCCAUCUUUGUGUGCUUGAUCCAACUGUGAUAAGCCUAUGUAUGUCAAGCUGGUGGAGUCCCUUUGUGCUGAGCACCAAAUCAACUUAAUUAAGGUUGAUGACAACAAGAAACUAGGGGAAUGGGUAGCGCUCUGUAAAAUUGAGAGAAGGGAAACCCUGUAAAGUGGUUGGUUGCAGUUGUGUAGUAGUUAAGGACUAUGGCAAGGAGUCUCAGGCCAAGGAUGUCAUCCAAGAGUACUUCAAAUGCAAGAAAUGA